rnacentral:rRNA from 1 species
GAUGAAACGCUAGCUACAGGCUUAACACAUGCAAGUCGAGGGGAAACGGCAUCAAGCGCUUGCGCUGAUGGACGUCGACCGGCGCACGGGUGAGUACGCGUAUCCAACCUGCCCCACACUAAGGGAUAACCCGCAGAAAUGUGGACUAAUACCUUAUAUUUUCCACCAAAGGGCAUCGUCGAUGGAACAAAGAUUUUAUCGGUAUGGGAUGGGGAUGCGUCCGAUUAGGUUGUUGGCGGGGUAACGGCCCACCAAGCCUUCGAUCGGUAGGGGUUCUGAGAGGAAGGUCCCCACAUAGGAACUGAGACACGGUCCUAACUCCUACGGGAGGCAGCAGUGAGGAAUAUUGGUCAAUGGGCGUGAGCCUGAACCAGCCAAGUAGCGUGCAGGAAGACGGCCCUAUGGGUUGUAAACUGCUUUUAUGCGGGGAUAAAGGAGUCCACGUGUGGAUUUUUGCAGGUACCGCAUGAAUAAAGACCGGCUAAUUCCGUGCCAGCAGCCGCGGUAAAU